rnacentral:rRNA from 1 species
GGUUAAGUGAAUAAGGGCGCACGGUGGAUGCCUUGGCACUAGGAGCCGAUGAAGGACGGGACUAACACCGAUAUGCUUUGGGGAGCUGUACGUAAGCUAUGAUCCAGAGAUUUCCGAAUGGGGGAACCCAACAUCUUUAAUAGGAUGUUACGAUUGUGUGAAUACAUAGCACAUUCGAGGUAGACGCAGAGAACUGAAACAUCUAAGUACCUGCAGGAAGAGAAAGAAAAUUCGAUUCCCUGAGUAGCGGCGAGCGAAACGGGAAAAGCCCAAACCAGCAAGCUUGCUUGUUGGGGUUGUAGGACUCCAAUAUGGUAGUUCUUUCAGAUAGUCGAAUGACUUGGAAAAGUCAGUCAAAGAGGGUAAAAACCCCGUAGACGAAAUGUGGAAGACACCUAGGAGGAUCCUGAGUACGGCGGAACACGAGAAAUUCCGUCGGAAUCCGGGAGGACCAUCUCCCAAGGCUAAAUACUCCCUAGUGACCGAUAGUGAACCAGUACCGUGAGGGAAAGGUGAAAAGCACCCCGGAAGGGGAGUGAAAUAGAACCUGAAACCGUGUGCCUACAACAAGUCAAAGCCCGUUAAUGGGUGAUGGCGUGCCUUUUGUAGAAUGAACCGGCGAGUUACGAUUGCAUGCGAGGUUAAGUUGAAGAGACGGAGCCGCAGCGAAAGCGAGUCUGAAUAGGGCGUUUGAGUAUGUAGUCGUAGACCCGAAACCAUGUGAUCUACCCAUGUCCAGGUUGAAGGUGCGGUAAAACGCACUGGAGGACCGAACCCACGUACGUUGAAAAGUGCGGGGAUGAGGUGUGGGUAGCGGAGAAAUUCCAAACGAACUUGGAGAUAGCUGGUUCUCUCCGAAAUAGCUUUAGGGCUAGCCUCGGAAUUGAGAAUGAUGGAGGUAGAGCACUGUUUGGACUAGGGGCCCAUCUCGGGUUACCGAAUUCAGAUAAACUCCGAAUGCCAUUCAUUCAUAUCCGGGAGUCAGACUGUGAGUGAUAAGAUCCAUA